UGGGGAAUAUUGCACAAUGGGCGAAAGCCUGAUGCAGCGAUGCCGCGUGCGGGAAGAAGGCCCUAGGGUUGUAAACCGCUUUCAGUAGGGAAGCGGUACCUACAGAAGAAGGUGCGGCCAACUACGUGCCAGCAGCCGCGGUGACACGUAGGCACCAAGCGUUGUCCGGAUUUAUUGGGCGUAAAGAGCUCGUAGGCGGUUUGGUAAGUCGGGUGUGAAAACCCUGGGCUCAACCCAGAGAGGCCACUCGAUACUGCCAGACUUGAGUACGGUAGGGGAGUGGGGAAUUUCUAGUGUAGCGGUGAAAUGCGCAGAUAUUAGAAGGAACACCAGUGGCGAAGGCGCCACUCUGGGCCGUAACUGACGCUGAGGAGCGAAAGCAUGGGUAGCAAACAGGAUUAGAUACCC
rnacentral:rRNA from 1 species